rnacentral:rRNA from 1 species
UGGGGAAUAUUGGACAAUGGGCGGAAGCCUGAUCCAGCAACGCCGCGUGAGGGAUGACGGCCUUCGGGUUGUAAACCUCUUUCACCUGUGACGAAGCGGAAGUGACGGUAGCAGGAGAAGAAGGACCGGCCAACUACGUGCCAGCAGCCGCGGUAAUACGUAGGGUCCGAGCGUUGUCCGGAAUUAUUGGGCGUAAAGGGCUCGUAGGCGGUUUGUUGCGUCGGGAGUGAAAUCCUCCAGCUUAACUGGGGGCUUGCUUUCGAUACGGGCAGACUUGAGGUAUUCAGGGGAGAAUGGAAUUCCUGGUGUAGCGGUGAAAUGCGCAGAUAUCAGGAGGAACACCGGUGGCGAAGGCGGUUCUCUGGGAAUUACCUGACGCUGAGGAGCGAAAGUGUGGGGAGCGAACA